ACCUGGCUGGCUCAGUCAGAAGAGCAUGUGACUUUUGAUCUCAGAGUCAUGAGUUCAAGCUCCAUGUUGUGUG
rnacentral:tRNA from 1 species